ACUAGUUCUUACGUACAAGGUUCCUAACUAUCUGUCCUGAUGUAAACAAUUGAUUGACCAACAAUCUUGACGUUGUAGCUUCAUCUGCCCUUGCCCUUUGUGACAGAUAGCUAUAUUUGCGACAUACGACACGAAUAGAGACACUUGCAUCCAACAACGUUCCCAAAUUGGUUGGUAGCAGACGUUAUCCAAAGUAAUGUUAGCUAGCUAUAGCCACAUCUUGUAUUUUUCAGUGGUUGACGUGUAACGUUAGUAGCUAAUAAUAGCCCAUGUCAUAACAAGUCUGAUCUAAAGUUGCAGUGCUGUUGUAUUCAAGGAAAACGUCGUCCAUCUAAUGACAAUGGUGCACAUUCUUAGAAGCUAAGAAAAGCACAAACGCGACUGAUCUACAGUGACAGGUUCAGUAUGUUAAUGAAAGCAUCCGCUCUCUCCCCAGCCAUGGCUGGUCUCCCCCACAGAAGGUUGCGUCUGAGGACUGCUCUCAGGUGGCUGAGUCCCCUCAGCACUGCCUCACCUCCAGCCGUGGUCAGAACUUUACCCUCAGGCUUCAGCAGCGGCCUGUUCCAAACACCCAGGCCCGGGUCUUGUGGCGUCUGCUGUCGGGAGCUCCAUGCUGGGGGAGAGAGACCCACCCCGUCCCCCGCAGCUGCCCCAGAGAGGAGGCCUUUCUCCAGGGUAACUCCAGAGGACCUGGCCUUCUUCAGCAAGAUAAUACCAGGCAGGACCAUCACUGACCCAGAUAUACUGGAUGCCAGUUAAUGUGGACUGGCUCAAGUCCGUGAGAGGUUUCAGUGAGGUUCUGCUGAGGCCCCAGACUACAGAGGAAGUUUCUCAGAUCCUUGGGUAUUAUUCUCCAGCCUUCUAGUGUA